AAUAAAAACAGUAAGUUUGCAUACAUGUUAAUUAAAAUGCUUUUUAAGCACAAGGUAUGCUUAAUAUCUAAUAUGUAGAAUCAUUGUAAUGUAAUGCUUAAAGAUACAGAAAAUAUCAUAAAGGUUACUUCCUCCUCAUGUUUCCCCAAUGGACAACGUUGGACAACAUUUUCUUUGAAAUCCCAGCACUUUUAUUGAGUGCUGCACCAUAAUAUGAGGCCAUAAACACUGUCAUAACUUCAUGUUCUGUUAAAGUGUGUUGGUAAUGUUUUCAGUUCAAAGUCUCAUAUAUAUAUCAACCACAAGGAAACUAUAAAUAUCACUAGUUCUGAGACAGUGCAAAGAAACCGAAAGCAAAUCUACUGUUCUGUGAAACCAGCCCAACUGAAGAGAAUAGACAGGGAUUUUAACUAAGAAAUCAUUCAAAUAAUAAUUUAAAAUAGUUUGAAAACAAAAGCUUUGUCUAUAAAAUCAUUUAUUGUAUCUUUUAUUUGCACAUCAUAAAGAUACAUAAGCAGUCACAAACAUGAAACUGAUUACAGCAAACAUACAGCAGAUAGAGCAAUUACCCCUAAUAAACAGAGGGAAAUUUAACUGAAUGACUUACCUUUUACAAGAAUCAUAUUACAAUAGCAUAUUACAUUAUUACGUUAAUAAGGAAGUAACAGGCGGGGCAAAGGUCUCUGUGGUUGUGCAGGGCCAAAAAGGAGAAGCAGCUAUUUACAUAGUCACUUGCCAAUAUGCGAGGAGACCAGAGGUUACCCAAGGAGGACAUGGUUAAGAAUUAAAAGUCAACACCACUGGAAUAAAGCUUAUAUUGGACUGUGGCAGCCCAUGCACGAAGAAAUUCUUUGCUAACCUUAAGUGUUGUGGUUUUUGUCAACACACCCGUGGCAGAAAAAAGAAACUAGAAGUUUUAUCUGUGGACAACAAAGGAAUUGUACAAGCUCAUAGUAUCUGUGUAGCUUAACAAAACAUACUAACAAUGAAGCCUUUACCUUUCAAAAUCAUCUCAGACCACUUUAUGCUGUGUGUCCUCUUGUGUCUACUUUGGUGUGUCACUGACUCCAAAAGUACAACAACAGCAACAGGGACAAGUGCAACACAAGCAAAACCAACAACAACACAGUUAACCACUCCAUCAACAACCCUUUUAACAACAAAACAACGUCUUGAAAAUGUUAAGAAUGUGAAAGUGUUGACACAAAAUGAGAGCAGUAUAACUCUGAUGUGGGACAAGGUUAACAACAUCUCAACAUACUUCCUACAAUAGGAUAUUUGGAGUGUCUUU